rnacentral:rRNA from 1 species
GACAGAGGUGCCGAGCGUUAGGCGGAAUCACUGGGCUUAAAGCGUGUGUAGGCGGACCGUUAAGUACCUUGUGAAAUCCCACAGCUUAACUGUGGAACUGCUCGGUAUACUGCUGGUCUUGAGCCACUCAGGGGCUACCGGAACAAAUGGUGGAGCGGUGAAAUGCGUAGAUAUCAUGUGGAACGCCAAUGGUGAAAACAGGUAGCUGGGGGUGUGCUGACGCUGAGACACGAAAGCCAGGGGAGCAAACGGG